rnacentral:rRNA from 1 species
GACGGAAGGUGCAAGCGUUGCUCGGAAUCACUGGGCGUAAAGGGUGCGUAGGCGGCCGCGCAAGUCUGGCGUGAAAGCCCCGGGCUCAGCCCGGGAAGGGCGCUCGAAACGGCGCGGGCUCGAGUGCCGGAGGGGAGAGUGGAAUUCCCAGUGUAGAGGUGAAAUUCGUAGAUAUUAGGAAGAACACCAGUGGCGAAGGCGGCCAACUGGCCCGAUACUGACGCUCAUGUGCGAAAGCGUGGGGAGCAAACAGGG